AGUAGUUUUUCAGUCCACUACUCAGUUGAGUUUGGGUUGAAUAAAGGAUCUCUCUCUCUCUCUCGCUCUCUUUCUCUCUUUCUCUCUAUAGCCUGUAUUUCCAGCUAUUCAAACGAACUUCCGAAGGAAUCGAGAUCGAUCUCAUGGAGAAUCACAAGGAGGAAGUGGCUCCAUGGUUGAGCGUUCCUCAGUUUGGGGCUUGGGAGCAUAAGGGAGAGGUGCCUGAUUAUUCAUUUGAUUUCUCAAAGCACAAGAGGGAUUUGUCAAUAAAUAAUGGUUAAAAAACUUCUUUCGAGGAAUGAGCCCGACCGAAUAAUAGAAUCUUUUUUUUUAUAUAUAGUUUUCUAAAAAAUAAUAGAUAAUAUAAUCUUAGUCAUUUUUUCUUUUAUUAUAAAGUUAUAAUAAACUUUUAUUUUGUUUUGCCUUUUCCGCCCACUGCCACUAAAUCACCACCCUCUUUCUUUCUUUUUCUUCUCGAUUCUUGAACGAGGUAAAAUUUGAAGACCCCGUCAGGACCUACGGGUUAAGGGACAAUCUCAGAUAGUUGUUGAGAGGGUUGCCCAAAAGCAAUAUAGGAGACAUCCUUCUCCCGAAGUUAUGGCGCAUGCACGACAUGGUCAAAUCUGAUCAUAGAAAAGAUUCUCUUCAAGUGAACUAGCCUACCCUAAAGGUUUGGUGGUGGUUGGAAUAAAGACACCUUUGACACUUUUUAGCGAAGAGGAGCUAAUGGCCUCAUCACCCACUCCCACCACAUGACGUCUAGUUCUCAUGCCGAUGAAUAUCACCAAUUCAAUCACAGCAACAGCAACUCCCCAACAGGAUAUGCUUUCAAUUUACCGGAUGUCGCGGCUGCUAAGUCUGGAGAUUGAGAAUCCAAAAAUGGAUCUUUGAGGCUGUAUAUGAUGUCUUCAUCUGCUUCUACGAUACAAGGAGAAGAUGUUGAGCCAAUGGAUGUGGCUUCUUGAAGAAGCUUUUGAAAAUCAACUUCCCUAGAUGUCUCCGCUAAUAAUGCAAGUAGCUUAUACUUUGGAUUAAGGGAGUGGUCCUCCUUUUUUAUAGAUUUUGAAGGUGGCCAUUUUCAACUUACCAAAAGUAUUCACUGCUUUGAUGUGUGUGAGGUUAAAAAUGUUUUUAUCCCACCACUUGAUUUCCAAUAUUUUGAAGAUCUGUUUGAUUGGAUCUCCAUUUUCUUUGGCCUCUAAAUUUAGGAAUUUGAAAAUAUACACUAAAGAGAAUGGUU